AAAAAACUCAAAAAGACCCAAUCCAAAAAUGAACCCUCAGAAGCCUACUUGGAUAGCUGUGGCUAAUUAUCUUUGGAUUCUCAGUCCUGCCUGUAAGGCCAAACUGAUACUUUUGUAGUCAUUAUGACUUAAUGGAACUUUUUUUAUAUGGUUGCCUAGAAACCACUUUUUCAAGCCAAACGCCCUCCAAAACACACACAGCUUUCUCUUAGGGGAAGAUGCAGUUUUAAAUCUGGGCCAAAGACCUCAGGUGAAAAAGGUGACGGAUCCACAGGGAGAAAUCCAUAUUGAAUCAGAGGUUCUUGUAGAAGCAGGAGAAGGAGGUUACGCAGAGCCGGUUCUCAGCUUAGAUGUGGGGUCUGAAGUUAAAGCCGCACAUACGCCUUGGCAUCCGUGUCCAGGAGAGGCGGUGAAGGAGACGUCAGCAGGGGACCUGCUCUUCCGGCUCUAGUUCCAGAAUCCUGCCAAAAUGAAGUUUCGAAGGCAAAUGGGGUUUCUGGUUUCUACAGCAACCUCUUAUGAUUCCUGAAUAGAAAGAACGUUUAAUCCUCUCCUCACCGCUGGGAUUUCCCAGACUAAAUCAACGGUCCUUCGGGACAGCAAUAAAGUCAGCAAAAGCAAUUAUCCUCAGACAAGCAGACGGGCAGACUCUUGUCACUGCUCAUCCUGCAAUUCCAUGAGAAGGAUGAAGCCGAGGAUUUGUGUCUGAACGAAACUGCCCUUCCAUAACUCCAGGGCCCUGCCUCUCACAGCACCCAACUGGGUAAAGCCAAGAGCACCAUCUUUUGUUUUUUCAGCAAAUGACAGCUGUGCAUGGGAUUUGGAGCCAAGGUCUCACAGGGAUUUAGAAGUUCAGCAGGUGCAGUACUAUCAAAAGGUAUCUCAUGUCUGAGCAAUUUAACUAGAUGUCCUGGGCCAAGAGACUCACUGUUGUCAUCAACCAAGAGAGUUGAGACAUCUUAAUCUAAAAACACUAUUUUCUAUAUUGGAGCUUUGAGGCUGAAGCUGAUGAGCUAAAGCUUUCUUUUUAAAAACAGCCAUCUUCUGAGGAAAAUCCUCCAUAUUCAGGAUUAUUUUCUCUUUUGGGAACAGGAAAAUUUCCUACUCAUCCCCCUGGACUCCUGCGGCAGUUUACUCUGUGGCAAUGUCCACAGAGUAAGGUCAUCUUGACCCUCUUGUUACUGCAAUUCCUGGAUGCCUUGGACCACUCUGUCCUGAAAGUCCCUCCCCCAGCACAGGAAGUGCUUUGGCUUCACUGCCUGACCAGUGCAGGUUCCCUGCCGUCCUCAACUGGUCUCUACAGUCAGAGCAAAGCUAACACUGACAGUCAUGGGUUAUCUGACUUGGUCAGUCAUGGAGACCAAUUGAAUUGAACUAUGUGGACUCAGCUCAAACCGUGAAGCUAGGGGUAGACUCCAACCAUGUAAAUCAACAGCUCCUAACCAUCUACUGUGAUGGGCUCCUCUCCUAGCACAUGAUCUUGACAAGGUGUUGUUGUGUGCUUAAAGCAAUGAGACCCGCACUUCCUUGAGAAUGUCACACAGUGCAGAGAUAAUGCACCACCUAAGUGGACAUUUAUAUUCAGCGAUAGGACCACAAGAUCAAACGCAAGUCACCCACACAUCUGCUGCGCUCCUGUGUGACUGUCGGCCAAAGGAACUGAUUCUACAAUUUUGCAGUGCUUCUCUGCAGAAGUCUAAUGUGGUUAUCAGGCCUGGUGAGACUGUGUUGGCUUUUAUUAUAAGUGAAUAAAGAAGACUCAGAAUAUGAAGCUCCCAGCAAUGUGGAAUGAAGGAGCAGAGACCCAGAUCUACCAGCAUUCACCCUGAUGAAGUGUACACUUAUGCUGUGUACCUACUACUGCUGAUGACUUUUGCAUAGUCAUAAAAGAGUACCUCUUGGACUAGUUUGCCUUUGACUUCACCUGCCUCACUUAAAGUCGACAUUAGAAUUAACACACGGGAGAUGAUGGCGUGAGGUGUUUCCUAACCGUGGGGUCAUAUUAGUUAUGACAGCAAAUAAAAUACUUCCAAAAGACAAUCUUGAAUUUUCCUCAUGAUAAAUAUAAAAGAAUCAGAAAAUCAAAGUUCAGGCCCAAUCAGUUUUUUGUAUUGUGGAGAUUUCCACUGAAGAACAUGGCAUCAGUUGCAGGGAUGACAUUUAGUAGUUUCUGCCACCUCUGUGACAUUUCCUGCUGCAUAAAAAGUGGAGAGUGAUUAGUAUCUAGAGAAUGGUAGGACAAGUGAACUAGAAAUGCCGAUCAUGGAGAAAGGCCAGUUAUCAAAAGAUUCCAAGAUCAUUCUCUGGAACUGGAGGAGAGAAAUGUUUUGGAAUUCACACUGACUGCACUUACUGGACGGAUCUUUUAUAGCUCACACAUAUUUGCUGUAAGUAACAUUUAGCCAUUUGCUCUGCAUCUCCCACGUUUAACACAGUAAAGUAAAUGACCCAUAAAUAAGAAAUGUUUCUUCUGUCAAAAGGGUUAUAAAUAUGCAAACAAUACAGUACCCAUUAGUAUGUAUAGAAAAAGGAG
rnacentral:lncRNA from 1 species